GUACACGCUGUGACUAGCAUAUCAAUAAGCGGAGGAAAAGAAACUAACAAGGAUUCCCUCAGUAACGGCGAGUGAAGCGGGAAGAGCUCAAACUUGAAAUCUUGAAAGGUCACCUUUCACGAAUUGUAGUUUAAAGAAGUGUUUUCUGUUACGAUCGUAAUAUAAGUUCUUUGGAAUAGGACAUCACAGAGGGUGAGAAUCCCGUCUAUGAUUGCGAUUUGUAGCUUUGUGAUACACUUUCAAAGAGUCGGGUUGUUUGGGAAUGCAGCCCAAAACGGGAGGUAAAUUUCUUCUAAGGCUAAAUAUUGGCGAGAGACCGAUAGCGAACAAGUACCGUGAGGGAAAGAUGAAAAGAACUUUGAAAAGAGAGUUAAAUAGUACGUGAAAUUGUCAAAAGGGAAGCGUUUAACACCAGUGUUGUUUUCUGAAAAUCAACCUCUGUUAGCUUUAUGCAUGUUUGUUUAGACCUAAUCAGCUAUCUUGCAUGUUCUAUUGUUUGCAGUGGUGCACUUUUCAGUUUACAGGUCAACAUCAGUUUUUUUUACCGUAAAAAAGUUAAAGAAAGGUAGCUCAUGGCUCCGGUCGUGAGUGUUAUAGUCUUUUUCCUAUGCGGUAGGAGAGACUGAGGUCUGCAGUGUAGGCUAUUUGGCUAGAUACUCAGGUGCUAUGUGAUACCAUUUCAUAAACAACUUGUUGAUUAUGUUUUGUCUAUUGCAUACUCGCUUGUACUAUCAUACCUACGCUUAGGAUGUUGAGUAGCGACAUACGCAC
rnacentral:rRNA from 1 species